CCUACGGGAGGCAGCAGUGAGGACUAUUGGUCAAUGGACGAGAGUCUGAACCAGCCAAGUAGCGUGAAGGAUGACUGCCCUAUGGGUUGUAAACUUCUUUUUUAUGGGAAUAAAAUGUUCCACGUGUGGGUUUUUGUAUGUACCAUAUGAAUAAGGAUCGGCUAACUCCGUGCCAGCAGCCGCGGUAAUACGGAGGAUCCGAGCGUUAUCCGGAUUUAUUGGGUUUAAAGGGAGCGUAGGUGGAUUGUUAAGUCAGUUGUGAAAGUUUGCGGCUCAACCGUAAAAUUGCAGUUGAUACUGGCAGUCUUGAGUACAGUAGAGGUGAGCGGAAUUCGUGGUGUAGCGGUGAAAUGCUUAGAUAUCACGAAGAACUCCGAUUGCGAAGGCAGCUCACUGGACUGCAACUGACACUGAGGCUCGAAAGUGUGGGUAUCAAACAGGAUUAGAUACCCUUGUAGUC
rnacentral:rRNA from 1 species